GGUUAUUAUAAUAUAAACCAUCAGUUUAAUGAAUACCAUAGCAUGGUUUAGUCUGGUAUUAACACCAAGGGAGGGUUGAACCUUAGGACAAGGCUCUGAUCAAGUAGCCACCCUUUGCCAUGACGACAGCUUUGCGCACUCUUGGCAUUCUCUCAACCAGCUUCACCUGGAAUGCUUUUCCAACAGUCUUGAAGGAGUUCCCACAUAUGCUGAGCACUUGUUGGCUGCUUUUCCUUCACUGAGGACCAACUCAUCCCAAAUCAUUUUAAUUGGACUCCGUCCGUCCGUCCAUCCGUCUGUCUGUGUGUGUGUGUGUGUGUUACUCACUGUGCUAUGGCCCGUAGGUUACUCAGUAUGUAGUCUGUGUGUGUUACUCACUGUGCUAUGGCCCGUAGGUUACUCAGUAUGUAGUGUGUGUGUGUUACUCACUGUGCUAUGGCCUGUAGGUUACUCAGUAUGUAGUGUGUGUGUGUGUGUGUGUGUGUGUGUUACUCACUGUGCUAUGGCCUGUAGGUUACUCAGUAUGUAGUCGGUGUGUGUGUGUGUGUGUGUGUGUGUGUGUGUGUGUGUGUGUGUGUGUUACUCACUGUGCUAUGGCCUGUAGGUUACUCAGUAUGUAGUGUGUGUGUGUUACUCACUGUGCUAUGGCCGUAGGUUACUCAGUAUGUAGUCGGUGUGUGUGUGUUACUCAC
ensembl:lncRNA